GACGAACGCUGGCGGCGUGCUUAACACAUGCAAGUCGAACGGUGAAAGCGGAGCUUGCUCCGCUGGAUCAGUGGCGAACGGGUGUGUAACACGUGGGCAACCUGCCCCUCACUUCGGGAUAACUCCGGGAAACCGGGGCUAAUACCGGAUAUGACCUCCUUGGGCAUCCUUGGAGGUGGAAAGUUUUUCGGUGAGGGAUGGGCCCGCGGCCUAUCAGCUUGUUGGUGAGGUAGUGGCUCACCAAGGCGACGACGGGUAGCCGGCCUGAGAGGGCGACCGGCCACACGGGGACUGAGACACGGCCCAGACUCCUACGGGAGGCAGCAGUGGGGAAUAUUGCGCAAUGGGCGAAAGCCUGACGCAGCAACGCCGCGUGCGGGAUGACGGCCUUCGGGUUGUAAACCGCCUUCAGCAGGGAAGAAGCCGCAAGGUGACGGUACCUGCAGAAGAAGCACCGGCUAACUACGUGCCAGCCGCCGCCGUAA
rnacentral:rRNA from 1 species